UUUGAUAUGUUAUGAAAGAGACGAUGAGGAACAACUUCAAUGAAGAAAGCAUGCUGAUCUGAACAAUCGAAAAUGGAGUUUCGAAGCUCACAACAAAUCUGACGGGUUGACAGAAAAAUAAUAACCAGUCAUUCAUCAUACCUGAAUUUCUUGAGUUAUACUGCUCCGAGGGAUCUCAAAUUUGGAUAUGUUGUAGUUCACAAGCUGAGGAACAACUUCAAUGAAGAAAGCAUGCUGAUCUGAGCAAGAGAAAAUAGAGUUUCAAAGCUCACAACAAAUCUGACGGGUUGACAGACAAAUGAUAAACAGUCACUCAUCAUACCUGGAUUUCUGGAGUUGUACUGCUCCGAGGGAUCUCAAAUUUGGAUAUGUUGUAGUUUGACAAGCUGAGGAACAACUUCAAUGAAGAAAGCAUGCUGAUCUGAGCAAGAGAAAAUAGA
rnacentral:lncRNA from 1 species